rnacentral:rRNA from 1 species
GGCACCUACGGGACGCAGCAGUGAGGAAUAUUGGUCAAUGGGCGCGAGCCUGAACCAGCCAAGUCGCGUGAGGGAGGACGGCCCUACGGGUUGUAAACCUCUUUUGCCGGGGAGCAACGGGCGUCACGUGUGGCGCCACUGAGAGUACCCGGAGAAAAAGCAUCGGCUAACUCCGUGCCAGCAGCCGCGGUAAUACGGAGGAUGCGAGCGUUAUCCGGAUUUAUUGGGUUUAAAGGGUGCGUAGGCGGAACAUUAAGUCAGCGGUACAAUCGAGG